UUUGGCUUCCAUGUCACCACGUGGAACCUUUCCUCACCACAUGCUUUGCUCAGGGCACAUAAGCUGGGCAACCUGAAUAUGAUCUUGAGAAAAAGAGCAACAGCUUAAGACACAAAAAGCAAAGGCUGCACUGCUUCUUUCUUCAGCUCAGAAACGCAUCGGGGACACAACCCGUCCUACAAACACCUCCUCUGGGGACAUAAGGCGACAAAGAGA